GAACCCGUGGUUAUUUGAGCCGGCCGGCUUGCCCGCCACGUAAAACAAGGGACUAAAAGGCCGGGCU
rnacentral:ncRNA from 1 species